GUAGAGACACAGUUUCACCAUGUUUUCCAGACUGGUCUCCAACUCCUGACCUCAAGUGAUCCGCCUGCCUCGGCCUCCCAAAGUGCUGGGAUUACAGGCAUGAGCCACCGCUCCAGGCCAGAAAUACACAUUUCUAAUAGCUUAUCAGGUACGCAUUUUUCUCCUGUAAAGAGUAGUGUUCAUGGACACUGACCAAUACAUGCAGGGUCACCCCAGACUGCUAAUUCUGCUGUCUGGUGUAGCACCAAGUCCACAUCCUUCGACCUCGGUAUUUCUACAAUCAUCGUCUUAGAAGCAGAAGUCUUCAAUUUUGCAUUUCAUGCUAAAUUUCAAUUCCUUUGAACUCAGGCCCGCCUAUGAGCUGCUUCUCUCUCCACUCAUGAUACCACAGCUGUGAAAUAUAACUGAAAUAAAGUGAAAAUUAAAAUGGAUUUAUUUGGGUACCGUGUGUUCUUUAGUGGGGGUCCCUUUAACUGAUUUAUCUACCUUCACUCAAUUGACAAUCUUCUUAGAAGACAUUUGUUGUGAUAUUGGAGCUUUUUUAUUAGGUUGAAAGCUUACUUAAAUUUCUCACUUGAAAGGAAGCUCUAAAACUUGCAAAAGAAGCAGAAAAACUCUGAUACCGAAAAUGGACCCUUGACAGCCAACCUAUAGAAUGGGUAUGAGUCAGAAUUUUCCAAAACAAUUUUAAAGCUUCAUUUUCCUUAGAAAGUUGCUUUUAGGGUUUUGUUGGGCUCAGAAACUAAUACCGGAAAAUAUGGCACUUUGACAUGCUGGACUGAAGAAGCAGCCUCAAAG
rnacentral:lncRNA from 1 species